rnacentral:rRNA from 1 species
GAUGAACGCUGGCGGCGUGCCUAAUACAUGCAAGUCGAGCGAACGGACGAGAAGCUUGCUUCUCUGAUGUUAGCGGCGGACGGGUGAGUAACACGUGGAUAACCUACCUAUAAGACUGGGAUAACUUCGGGAAACCGGAGCUAAUACCGGAUAAUAUUUUGAACCGCAUGGUUCAAAAGUGAAAGACGGUCUUGCUGUCACUUAUAGAUGGAUCCGCGCUGCAUUAGCUAGUUGGUAAGGUAACGGCUUACCAAGGCAACGAUGCAUAGCCGACCUGAGAGGGUGAUCGGCCACACUGGAACUGAGACACGGUCCAGACUCCUACGGGAGGCAGCAGUAGGGAAUCUUCCGCAAUGGGCGAAAGCCUGACGGAGCAACGCCGCGUGAGUGAUGAGGGUCUUCGGAUCGUAAAACUCUGUUAUUAGGGAAGAACAUAUGUGUAAGUAACUGUGCACAUCUUGACGGUACCUAAUCAGAAAGCCACGGCUAACUACGUGCCAGCAGCCGCGGUAAUACGUAGGUGGCAAGCGUUAUCCGGAAUUAUUGGGCGUAAAGCGCGCGUAGGCGGUUUUUUAAGUCUGAUGUGAAAGCCCACGGCUCAACCGUGGAGGGUCAUUGGAAACUGGAAAACUUGAGUGCAGAAGAGGAAAGUGGAAUUCCAUGUGUAGCGGUGAAAUGCGCAGAGAUAUGGAGGAACACCAGUGGCGAAGGCGACUUUCUGGUCUGUAACUGACGCUGAUGUGCGAAAGCGUGGGGAUCAAACAGGAUUAGAUACCCUGGUAGUCCACGCCGUAAACGAUGAGUGCUAAGUGUUAGGGGGUUUCCGCCCCUUAGUGCUGCAGCUAACGCAUUAAGCACUCCGCCUGGGGAGUACGACCGCAAGGUUGAAACUCAAAGGAAUUGACGGGGACCCGCACAAGCGGUGGAGCAUGUGGUUUAAUUCGAAGCAACGCGAAGAACCUUACCAAAUCUUGACAUCCUUUGACAACUCUAGAGAUAGAGCCUUCCCCUUCGGGGGGGCAAAGUGACAGGUGGUGCAUGGUUGUCGUCAGCUCGUGUCGUGAGAUGUUGGGUUAAGUCCCGCAACGAGCGCAACCCUUAAGCUUAGUUGCCAUCAUUAAGUUGGGCACUCUAAGUUGACUGCCGGUGACAAACCGGAGGAAGGUGGGGAUGACGUCAAAUCAUCAUGCCCCUUAUGAUUUGGGCUACACACGUGCUACAAUGGACAAUACAAAGGGCAGCGAAACCGCGAGGUCAAGCAAAUCCCAUAAAGUUGUUCUCAGUUCGGAUUGUAGUCUGCAACUCGACUACAUGAAGCUGGAAUCGCUAGUAAUCGUAGAUCAGCAUGCUACGGUGAAUACGUUCCCGGGUCU